rnacentral:rRNA from 1 species
GGAAUUAUUGGGCGUAAAGAGCUCGUAGGCGGUUUGUCGCGUCUGCUGUGAAAUCCCGAGGCUCAACCUCGGGCUUGCAGUGGGUACGGGCAGACUAGAGUGCGGUAGGGGAGAUUGGAAUUCCUGGUGUAGCGGUGGAAUGCGCAGAUAUCAGGAGGAACACCGAUGGCGAAGGCAGAUCUCUGGGCCGUAACUGACGCUGAGGAGCGAAAGCAUGGGGAGCGAACAGGAUUAGAUACCCUGGUAGUCCAUGCCGUAAACGUUGGGCGCUAGAUGUAGGGACCUUUCCACGGUUUCUGUGUCGUAGCUAACGCAUUAAGCGCCCCGCCUGGGGAGUACGGCCGCAAGGCUAAAACUCAAAGGAAUUGACGGGGGCCCGCACAAGCGGCGGAGCAUGCGGAUUAAUUCGAUGCAACGCGAAGAACCUUACCAAGGCUUGACAUACACCGGAAACGGCCAGAGAUGGUCGCCCCCUUGUGGUCGGUGUACAGGUGGUGCAUGGUUGUCGUCAGCUCGUGUCGUGAGAUGUUGGGUUAAGUCCCGCAACGAGCGCAACCCUCGUUCUAUGUUGCCAGCGGGUCAUGCCGGGGACUCAUAGGAGACUGCCGGGGUCAACUCGGAGGAAGGUGGGGAUGACGUCAAAUCAUCAUGCCCCUUAUGUCUUGGGCUUCACGCAUGCUACAAUGGCCGGUACAAAGGGCUGCGAUACCGUAAGGUGGAGCGAAUCCCAAAAAGCCGGUCUCAGUUCGGAUUGAGGUCUGCAACUCGACCUCAUGAAGUCGGAGUCGCUAGUAAUCGCAGAUCAGCAACGCUGCGGUGAAUACGUUCCCGGGCCUUGUACACACCGCCCGUCAAGUCAUGAAAGUCGGUAACACCC